rnacentral:rRNA from 1 species
AGUGCGAAAGCGUGGGGAGCAAACGGAUUAGAUACCCCGGUAGUCACGCCGUAAACGAUGUCUACUUGAAGGUUGUGGCCUUGAGCCGUGGCUUUCGGAGCUAACGCGUUAAGUAGACCGCCUGGGGAGUACGGUCGCAAGAUUAAAACUCAAAUGAAUUGACGGGGGCCCGCACAAGCGGUGGAGCAUGUGGUUUAAUUCGAUGCAACGCGAAGAACCUUACCUACUCUUGACAUCCAGAGAAGUUACCAGAGAUGGUUUCGUGCCUUCGGGAACUCUGAGACAGGUGCUGCAUGGCUGUCGUCAGCUCGUGUUGUGAAAUGUUGGGUUAAGUCCCGCAACGAGCGCAACCCUUAUCCUUGUUUGCCAGCACAUAAUGGUGGGAACUCCAGGGAGACUGCCGGUGAUAAACCGGAGGAAGGUGGGGACGACGUCAAGUCAUCAUGGCCCUUACGAGUAGGGCUACACACGUGCUACAAUGGCAUGUACAAAGGGUUGCCAAGCCGCGAGGUGGAGCUAAUCCCAUAAAGCAUGUCGUAGUCCGGAUUGGAGUCUGCAACUCGACUCCAUGAAGUCGGAAUCGCUAGUAAUCGUGAAUCAGAAUGUCACGGUGAAUACGUUCCCGGGCCUUGUACACACCGCCCGUCACACCAUGGGAGUGGGUUGCUCCAGAAGUAGAUAGCUUAACCUUCGGGAGGGCGUUUACCACGGAGUGAUUCAUGACUGGGGUGAAGUCGUAACAAGGUAACCGUA